GAACGCACAUUGCGCCCCCUGGUAUUCCGGGGGGCAUGCCUGUUCGAGCGUCAUUAACACCACUCAAGCUCAGCUUGGUAUUGGGCUCCGCCAGCAAUGGCCAACCCCAAACUCAGUGGCGGCACCGUUGGGUCCCGAGCGUAGUAAACAUCUCGCUGAGGGUUCCCCGCGGUUGACGACCAACCCCGAUUUUCUCAGGUUGACCUCGGAUCAGGUAGGAAUACCCGCUGAACUUAAG
rnacentral:misc_RNA from 1 species